AUUGAACGCUGGCGGCAUGCUUUACACAUGCAAGUCGAACGGUAACAGGCCGCAAGGUGCUGACGAGUGGCGAACGGGUGAGUAAUGCAUCGGAACGUGCCCAGUCGUGGGGGAUAACGCAGCGAAAGCUGCGCUAAUACCGCAUACGAUCUCUGGAUGAAAGCGGGGGACCGAAAGGCCUCGCGCGAUUGGAGCGGCCGAUGUCAGAUUAGGUAGUUGGUGGGGUAAAGGCCCACCAAGCCAACGAUCUGUAGCUGGUCUGAGAGGACGACCAGCCACACUGGAGCUGAGACACGGCCCAGACUCCUACGGGAGGCAGCAGUGGGGAAUUUUGGACAAUGGGCGCAAGCCUGAUCCAGCAAUGCCGCGUGCAGGAAGAAGGCCUUCGGGUUGUAAACUGCUUUUGUACGGAACGAAACGGUUCGGGUUAAUACCCUGGGCUAAUGACGGUACCGUAAGAAUAAGCACCGGCUAACUACGUGCCAGCAGCCGCCGUAAGAC
rnacentral:rRNA from 1 species